UUUCUAUGGAUGCUGUGAGAGUGGUGCUAACUGCACGCCGAACGGAUAACGAGGAACAAUGGAGUCAUUUGGAGCAAAAAGAAGUGGAACUAGCGCAAAUCCAGGAUUUCUUCCCAUCAUCUUGAAGAGAACGAAAAGACGAAGGCAAAAGUGAAAGAAUGCGGUCAUGUCGAUGUUCUAUGAGGAAGUUAUGAGCAAAAUCAAAUAUUAAGCUUGUCAGUUCCCCAAAACUGAUAGUACAAGGAAUAGAGUAGUUUCAGGUAGCCCUUAUCAUAUGUCUGGGUGCUUCUAGCUAAUAUGGCUAUUACCAACACCCGGGAUUGAGAGAAUGAUUUCUCAAUCAUUUAUUCCCCAACUCAGAGGAGAGUCCAUGGCGGCUCCAUUAUCACUCCGAGAAAGAGAGAAUCCACCUGAGAUUGGUAAGGGUUACAGAUCGAAUUCGAAGAGAAACCUGGGAAGAUGUUGUGUUGCCGGUGGCUGGAGAAUCAGUGAAAUGAGCUAGGGUUUGCUGUUUCAUAUUAAAUCCAGAUGAAGAAUUGGAGAUAUGGAAAAGAUUAUUGGGUGAAUGAAUCAGGUGAAACUGAAUCGAAUUCGAUAAUAAGAAGGUGGGUCUUUGGUAAUACAAGAAAUAGAGGAACAUGGAAGAAAAGCUGGAUCUGUAGCUGCCAUGGAUUUGCAGUAAUAAAAGGAGAUCGAUGUGACGCAGGGAAGAAGAUGAAGAAACAGAAACUAGGGUUUAUGUGGUGAAAACAAAGAUGAUGAUUAUGUUGUUGCUGCAGUUGAAUUGGCCAAGAACACAUGGAUGGGUUUUAACUGAAUUUGAUAAUGGAGGUGUUGUUGUUGGGUUUGAUGCAGUGCUCAACUGCAGAUGUUGCUGGUGUAUGAAAUAGAGAAGGAAAUGGGGUGAGUUUGAAGUCUGAGAUUCAGGUGAGGAAGAAUGUUGCUGAUGUUGAUCGUGGUGUUGUAAUUGUUGUUCAGCUACUACCAAAACUGGAAAGUGAUGCAGCUGAAAUGGAUGUUGGUGAACUGUGAGAUAGGGUUUUGAGAAACAAAGAAGAAUUGGUGUUUUAUGAUUGUCAAGAACAAUUGCAGUUGUUUUAAUUGAAUGCCUGAAGCUGUGGAUUUAUGUGUUUACUGUUGAUCUCACAAGGAGAGAAGUUGUUGCUGGUUAAGCUGAAGUGUUGCUGGUAUCAAGCAAGAGAAGAGUUGUAGUUGUACAGGUCAUGUAUUUGAAUGGAACAACAGACAUGGACUGUAAUGCAAUUGCAGGAUUGAUGUUAGUCUGCUGUGAUAAUGGUGCUCUGGUUGUGUGUGGUGAACCUGACUUUGCAGGAGGUGGAGUUCAGAGAAACUGUGUGUGACCUGAGAUACAGGUUUCAUAGUUGCUGGUGGUUGUGUGCCGCAGGUGAAAUGCAGGUUAUGUUCAAGAAGAUGGUGGUUACUGCAAUGACAGUGGAUCUGGUGCCUUGUGUUGGGACUGCAAGCACGCUGUUGCUAUGCAGGUGCAGUUCUGGUAGGAUGGAGGUGAUGUUGCAGUUGAAGCUACAGAAAGCAAGAAGCGGCUGCUACCAGUACAUGACAAUCUGCGGUGGAUGGAACUGAGUUGCAGUUGCAGCUCAGAUGGAGAUAUCCAAGGGUGUUUGCAGUUGCAAGUGCUAACGAAUACUGAUGGAGUUUUAACUGAGAUGAAGCUUCUACUGAUGUUGUUUAGAGCUGGAAAUGGUGGCUGGUAAAAUGGGUUUUCGUUGGUGCUAUAAUGUAUGUGGAGUUGCAGUCAGAUGGAGGUGGGUCUUUGCUACAAGAUAGAGAAAAUGGAACUGCAGGAAUGGAAGGAAGCUACAGCAAAGGAUGAUUUGAGCCCCAGAAGUUAAGCUGAAGCUAUAGAAGGAUAUGGUGUUGAUUGCGGUGACUGAAUAGGUAAGAAGCAGCUAAGAUUACAAGGGUUGAGCAGCGGCUGCAAUUUAUGCCAUGGUUGGGUUGGAGGAUGAGAUGACCUAGAAGAUAGUGUGCACUUCUGUUGUGCCUUGUGCAGCUGCAGUUGUGGUUAAAUGCAAAAUGGUGCAGUUGCUGGUGGUUUGAAGCAGUCUUGAUGUAUGGAGGAGCUUGAGCUGAGAUUGCGGGCCAGAGUUAUAGGAUGAACAGCCAUCAUGGCUGUAUAUGUGCAAUGAGGCCAGUGCAAAUGGCUUAUGCAAUGGAAACUCAGACAAGUCAGCCCAGUUAGCUCACAUGAAUAGCUGACUCGGUUCUGACUCAUGAUCUUGACUCACCCAACUUCUCAUUGGCUCGGUGUUGACCCGAGUUGACUCAGUUGACUCGUUGACCGGUGACCAGGUGGACUUUGCGGGUCACCAGAGUUAUGUUCCGGCUACAUUUCCAGCCAACUUCCGGCGGUGAACCCAGUUUUCCGGCGAUCUCUUUUGGGACAUAUUGUCACUUGGGUACUCUUUACAUAUGGACUUGGUGGACAUCUUGUUAUUGGAUUUUGGAGAUUGGACCUAAUUUUAGAAGUUGGAGAAAAGCUACAAAAGGAAAGUUUUCUACAACUUUUGGGGGAUGACGUAUUUUUUUACUUGGAGUUUGGAGGAGAGCAGCGAUUCUACUAGGGUUUGCUUUUCGCAUAUUUUUCAUUUCAUUAUUUUAUGAUUAUGAUUAUGAUGAACUCAAAAGCUAUGAGUAGCUAAAUACUAUUAUUGGUUAUGGGAUAAAA